UGAGCUGAGCUGAGCUGGGGUGAGCUGAGCUGAGCUGGGCUGAGCUGGGGUGAGCUGGGC
rnacentral:miRNA from 1 species